GUAGGGAAUCUUCCACAAUGGACGCAAGUCUGAUGGAGCAACGCCGCGUGAGUGAAGAAGGUUUUCGGACCGUAAAGCUCUGUUGUUGGUGAAGAAGGAUAGAGGUAGUAACUGGCCUUUAUUUGACGGUAAUCAACCAGAAAGUCACGGCUAACUACGUGCCAGCAGCCGCGGUAAUACGUAGGUGGCAAGCGUUGUCCGGAUUUAUUGGGCGUAAAGCGAGCGCAGGCGGAAGAAUAAGUCUGAUGUGAAAGCCCUCGGCUUAACCGAGGAAUUGCAUCGGAAACUGUUUUCUUGAGUGCAGAAGAGGAGAGUAGAACUCCAUGUGUAGCGGUGGAAUGCGUAGAUAUAUGGAAGAAUACCAGUGGCGAAGGCGGCUCUCUGGUCUGCAACUGACGCUGAGGCUCGAAAAGCAUGGGUAGCGAACAGGAUUAGAUACCCUGGUAGUCCAUGCCGUAAACGAUGAGUGCUAAGUGUUGGGAGGCUUCCGCCUCUCAGUGCUGCAGCUAACGCAUUAAGCACUCCGCCUGGGGGAGUACGACCGCAAGGUUGAAAC
rnacentral:rRNA from 1 species